rnacentral:rRNA from 1 species
CUAACCAGGAUUCCCCCAGUAACGGCGAGUGAAGCGGGAAGAGCUCACGUUGAAAAUCUGGCCCUCGGGCCCGAAUUGUAGUCUGUAGAGGCGAGGCCAGCCGGUGACCGAGGCGAAGUCUCUUGGAAAAGAGCAUCAAGGAGGGUGACAAUCCCGUUCUUGCCCCGGCCCCGCCGCGCGCACGGCCCGUUUUCUAAGAGUCGAGUUGCUUGGGAUUGCAGCUCAAAGCGGGUGGUAAAUUCCAUCUAAAGCUAAACACGGGGGGGAGACCGAUAGCGAACAAGUACCGUGAGGGAAAGAUGCAAAGAACUUUGAAAAGAGAGUUAAAGAGUGCCUGAAAUUGCUGAAAGGGAAGCGAAGGAAAGCAGUGUCUGGCGGAUCCGCCUCUCCGGGGUACCUUCGGGUCCCCGGCUUGCGCUUCCGCCGUGGCCAGCGCCGGGUCGGGUCGCGGGACGCUUCGUCUCGGGAGGUAGCGCCUCACCUCGGUGAGCGUGAAUACCGUGGCGUUUUGUCGCGACCGGGGCCGCGCGCUGACGAAAUGCUUUUCUUUAC